rnacentral:rRNA from 1 species
UGGGGAAUAUUGGACAAUGGGCGAAAGCCUGAUCCAGCCAUGCCGCGUGAGUGACGAAGGCCUUAGGGUUGUAAAACUCUUUCGUCGGGGACGAUAAUGACGGUACCCGAAGAAGAAGCUCCGGCUAACUUCGUGCCAGCAGCCGCGGUAAUACGUAGGGACCAAGCGUUGUUCGGAUUUACUGGGCGUAAAGGGCGCGUAGGCGGCAUGACAAGUCACUUGUGAAAUCUCUGGGCUUAACCCAGAACGGCCAAGUGAUACUGUCGCGCUAGAGUGCAGAAGGGGCAAUCGGAAUUCUUGGUGUAGCGGUGAAAUGCGUAGAUAUCAAGAGGAACACCUGAGGUGAAGACGGGUUGCUGGGCUGACACUGACGCUGAGGCGCGAAAGCCAGGGGAGCAAACGGGAUUAGAUACCCUAGUAGUCCCUGAGCGGGCUGGCAAGGCGCAU